CCAAGUAUAAACCAAAAUUAUGAAUUAAAUCAAAUUUAUAAUAUCUAAAUAUAUUUUCGACACGCGUAUUAAAAUCCGCACUAAAAACCUUCCAAAACCAUGUAUUAACUUAAUAGCAACCAAAACCAUGUAUUAACAUAUUACACAAACAAAGGGCCCAUCUUUGCAUGACAGAGCUAGGGAGUAACCAUUUUGGCACUAACCUUGUAUUAACAUAUUAUACACACUAUAAGUCAAAAUAAACAAGUUUUCAUACGGAUACUGUUACCAUAAAGUUAACUUCAUGAUAAAUUGGUCAAUUAAUCAAUACAAUACUGACACACAUAAAGAGAUCAUAUCCUACCGACAUGCUUAUCAACACUGUAUUUCAAUUGACCAAAGUUAACUCCAUGUUAACCAUUCUCUUUCCAUACAUAAUAGCAGUGCAUGCUGCAAGAAAAAGAAGAGAAGAGAAAAGAAAGACACCUCACAUUACAUUAUAGAGGAUCAAGAAGAGAACAACUAAGAGCAAAGUUCCCAACCCAAAACCAUCAGGAUCAUAACCAGGGCUUGCACCCUGCAUAUUUCCACCAGGAUUGUUUCGCACCGGAGAAAAUAUAGUGAGCAAGUGUAUUAGCACUAGCAGUAUUAUAGGAAGAAGCAACAUUGUAUAUACGUGUAGAAAGCAAGGCCACCUUCUUUCACAUAUCCUGCUUGGAAUAACAAACACUAUUAUA
rnacentral:lncRNA from 1 species